rnacentral:rRNA from 1 species
CAGCAGGCGCGAAAACUUUACAAUGCGGGAAACCGUGAUAAGGGAACUCCGAGUGCCCGUAAAAUCGGGCUGUCCAUCUGUUUAAAUAACAGGUGAAGAAAGGGCCGGGCAAGACCGGUGCCAGCCGCCGCGGUAAUACCGGCGGCUCGAGUGGUGGCCACUAUUACUGGGCUUAAAGCGUUCGUAGCUGGUCUGUUAAGUCUCUGGGGAAAUCUACUGGCUUAACCAAUAGGCGUUUCAGGGAUACUGGCAGACUAGGGACCGGGAGAGGUGAGGGGUACUCCAGGGGUAGGAGUGAAAUCCUGUAAUCCUUGGGGGACCACCUGUGGCGAAGGCGCCUCACCAGAACGGCUCCGACAGUGAGGGACGAAAGCUGGGGGAGCAAACCGGAUUAGAUACCCGGGUAGUCCCAGCCGUAAACGAUGCGCGUUAGGUGUAUCGGUGACCACGAGUCACCGAGGUGCCGAAGAGAAAUCGUGAAACGUGCCGCCCGGGAAGUACGGUCGCAAGGCUGAAACUUAAAGGAAUUGGCGGGGGAGCACAAGGGCGAAUCGCG